GGACCAAGGAGUCCAGCGAACGAGCGUGACGCAAAGGUUCAUUUUAUAGAAUCCGUCAAACUUAACGAAAGCAAUCGAGAAUCGUUUCGACGGUUCAAGUUUGUAUGAUGAGACGUAUUGAUGUUUUUAACUAUCAGCGUCUAGGCAAAUCGGAGAUGGCAAUUACGCGUCAGCAAUGGCGCUGCCGUACUCGUAGCUCGUGCUCUGGAACCCGAAAGAUGGUGAACUAUGCAUGGAAAGGAUGAAGCCAGGGGAAACUCUGGUGGAGGUCCGCAAUGGUUCUGACGUGCAAAUCGAUCAUCAGAACUAUGUAUAGGGGCGAAAGACCAAUCGAACCAUCUAGUAGCUGGUUCCUUUCGAAGUUUCCCUAAGGAUAGCUGAGGUCUAGUAACGAUAGUCACAUGCGGUAAAGCGAAUGAUUAGAGUCGUUGGGUUCGAAACGUUCUCAACCUAUUCUCAAACUGUUAAUGUGUGUGUUUUCCAUUAGCUAGCGUGCUACGUAGCAAGUGGAUAGAUAGUAAAGGCCUUCAGUGGGCCAUUUUUGGUAAGCAGAACUGGCGAUGCGGGAUGAACCGGUCGUAAAGUUAUAGUGCCAAAAUCAACGCAUAUCGGACCCCACAAAAGGCGUUAGUAACUAAAGACAGCAGGACGGUGGCCAUGAAAGUCGGC
rnacentral:rRNA from 1 species